AUCAUUGUGCAUUGGCAGUAUCUUAGCUUAUGAGGGAUAUUCGAAGUGUGUUUAUACCCAGUUGAAAACCUUACCCAACACCUUGUCUUGAUUAUUUAAAUUAUAAUUAGCUAUGGCCAUUUUUGAUACAUACAUCUUCAAGAAGUCU